GACGAACGCUGGCGGCGUGCUUAACACAUGCAAGUCGAACGGUAAGGCUCCAGCUUGCUGGGGUACACGAGUAGCGAACGGGUGAUUAACACGUGGGUGCCCUGCCCUGCACUUCGGGAUAAGCCUGGGAAACUGGGUCUCAUACCGGAUAUGACCAUGGUGUGGAUACUGUGUUGGAAAGUUUUUUCGGUGUGGGAUGGGUCCGCGGCCUAUCAGCUUGUUGGUGGGGUAAUGGCCUACCAAGGCGGAGAAGGGUAGCCGGCAUGGGAGGGUGGACGGCGACAUUGGGACUGAGAGACGGCCCAGACGGCAACGGGAGGCAGCAGUGGGGAAUAUUGCACAAUGGGCGGAAGCGUGAGGAAGAGACGCCGCGUGGGGGAUGAGGGCCUUCGGGUUGUAAAAUCGUUUCACCAUAGACGAAGGGUUAAUGACGGUAGAGGGAGAAGAAGCACCGGCUAACUACGUG
rnacentral:rRNA from 1 species